AAUUUACAAUAAAAAUCGCAAUUAACAAUAAAUAAUUAAUUGUAAAAAGAAGAGAAAGAUGUGAAAAAAAUACAGUAAUUUGUAAUAUACAAAAAAUUAUAUAACUUAAAAAUAAUAAAUAUAUAUAUAUAUAUAUAUAUAACUUAUACAAAGAAUUGUUAAUUUAAUUAUUUUACGCUAAAAAACCCGUCCAACUAAAUUUAUACUUGUACUGCUGCCUAGUAAUUCUACUGAGAAAAUUGUUAUACUGCUGAGCAAUACUACUGAGAAAAUUGUACUACUGCUGAGUAAUACUACUGAGAAAAUUGUACUACUGCUGAGUAAUACUACUGAGAAAAUUGUACUACUGCUGAGUAAUACUACUGAAAAAAGCAUGACCCAAGGUCAAGUCAAGGUCGUUCAAGGUCAUUUGAAGGUCAAGUCAAGGUCAUUCAAGGUCAUUUGAAGGUCAAGUCAAGGUCAUUCAAGGUCAUUCAAGGUCGUUUGAAGGUAAAAUCAAGAAUGUCUGACUAAAUAUUUACUUGUAUUACUAACAAAAUUGCAAACCCGUCCAACUAAAUUUUUACUUGUACUACUGCCUAGUAAUUCUACUGAGAAAAUUGUUCUACUGCUGAGCAAUACUACUGAGAAAAUUGUACUCCUGCUGAGUAAUACUACUGAGAAAAUUGUUCUACUGCUGAGUAAUACUACUGAGAAAAUUGUACUACUGCUGAGUAAUACUACUGAGAAAAUUGUUCUACUGCUGAGUAAUACUACUGAGAAAAUUGUUCUACUGCUGAGCAAUACUACUGAGAAAAUUAUACUACUGCUGAGUAAUACUACUGAGAAAAUUGUACUACUGCUGAGUAAUACUACUGAGAAAAUUGUACUACUGCUGAGUAAUACUACUGAGAAAAUUGUACUACUGCUGAGUAAUACUACUGAAAAAAGCAUGACCCCAGGUCAAGUCAAGGUCGUUCAAGGUCAUUUGAAGGUCAAGUCAAGGUCAUUCAAGGUCAUUCAAGGUCGUUUGAAGGUCAAAUCAAGAAUGUCUGACUAAAUAUUUACUUGUAUUACUAACAAAAUUGCAAACCCGUCCAACUAAAUUUUUACUUGUACUACUGCCUAGUAAUUCUACUGAGAAAAUUGUUCUACUGCUGAGCAAUACUACUGAGAAAAUUGUACUACUGCUGAGUAAUACUACUGAGAAAAUUGUUCUACUGCUGAGUAAUACUACUGAUAAAAUUGUACUACUGCUGAGAAAUACUACUGCAAAAAUUGUACUACUGCUGAGUAAUACUACUGAGAAAAUUGUUCUACUGCUGAGUAAUACUACUGAGAAAAUUGUUCUACUGCUGAGCAAUACUACUGAGAAAAUUGUACUACUGCUGAGUAAUACUACUGAGAAAAUUUGUACUACUGCUGAGUAAUACUACUUAGAAAAUUGUACUACUGCUCAGUAAUACUACUGAAAAAAGCAUGACUCAAGGUCAACUCAAGGUCGUUCAAGGUCAUUUGAAGGUCAAGUCAAGGUCAUUCAAGGUCAUUUGAAGGUCAAGUCAAGGUCAUUCAAGGUCAUUCAAGGUCGUUUGAAGGUCAAAUCAAGAAUGUCUGACUAAAUAUUUACUUGUAUUACUAACAAAAUUGCAAACCCGUCCAACUAAAUUUUUACUUGUACUACUGCCUAGUAAUUCUACUGAGAAAAUUGUUCUACUGCUGAGCAAUACUACUGAGAAAAUUGUACUACUGCUGAGUAAUACUACUGAGAAAAUUGUUCUACUGCUGAGUAAUACUACUGAUAAAAUUGUACUACUGCUGAGAAAUACUACUGCAAAAAUUGUACUACUGCUGAGUAAUACUACUGAGAAAAUUGUUCUACUGCUGAGUAAUACUACUGAGAAAAUUGUUCUACUGCUGAGCAAUACUACUGAGAAAAUUGUACUACUGCUGAGUAAUACUACUGAGAAAAUUUGUACUACUGCUGAGUAAUACUACUUAGAAAAUUGUACUACUGCUCAGUAAUACUACUGAAAAAAGCAUGACUCAAGGUCAACUCAAGGUCGUUCAAGGUCAUUUGAAGGUCAAGUCAAGGUCAUUCAAGGUCAUUUGAAGGUCAAGUCAAGGUCAUUCAAGGUCAUUCAAGGUCGUUUGAAGGUCAAAUCAAGAAUGUCUGACUAAAUAUUUACUUGUAUUACUAACAAAAUUGCAAACCCGUCCAACUAAAUUUUUACUUGUACUACUGCCUAGUGAUUCUACUGAGAAAAUUGUUCUACUGCUGAGCAAUACUACUGAGAAAUUUGUACUACUGCUGAGUAAUACUACUGAGAAAAUUGUUCUACUGCUGAGUAAUACUACUGAGAAAAUUGUUCUACUGCUGAGCAAUACUACUGAGAAAAUUGUACU